rnacentral:antisense_RNA from 1 species
UUUGAUCGAACCCAGCCACAGCGGGUGGUCUUUGCCGCGGGCGGCGCCGUAGGUGGCGAUCAGGGCGCUGGCCUC